CUUCUUCUUCUUCUUCUUCUCCGAUGGCGUCUAUCGCCGCGCCACCCAAUUUCUGUCUCUCUCAGAUCACUUGCAAAACUCGACCUCUCUCUCCCUCUCUUCUCGACUUCAACACUAGAACUUCCCAUUCCUCUCCAAAUCCUUGCUUUUCCUCCUACUCUUCCAAUCCCCUCAUCAAGACCAUCAUUUCCUGCUCCCAAUCUUCCUCUGCAGCCCCAUCUCCUGCCGCCCCUCCUCGCCGCCGCCGCCCUCAGUACAUUCCCAACCACAUCCCCGACCCUUCCUAUGUCCGUAUCUUCGACACCACUCUCCGCGACGGCGAGCAGUCCCCUGGCGCCACCCUCACCUCCAAGGAAAAGCUCGACGUUGCUCGCCAGUUGUCGAAGCUCGGCGUUGACAUAAUUGAGGCUGGAUUCCCUGCUGCCUCCAAGGAUGAUUUUGAGGCCGUGAAAACAAUUGCUAAGCAAGUGGGAAAUGCCGUCGAUGAGGAUGGUUAUGUGCCGGUUAUUUGUGGAUUAUCGAGGUGUAAUGAGAAGGACAUUAGGACUGCGUGGGAGGCUGUGAAAUACGCCAAGAGGCCGAGGAUUCACACUUUUAUUGCCACAAGUGCGAUCCAUAUGCAGUACAAGUUGAGGAAGAGUAAACAGGAGGUGUUGGAGAUUGCCACGAAUAUGGUUAGAUUCGCCAGGAGUUUGGGGUGUGAUGAUGUAGAGUUUAGCCCAGAGGAUGCUGGCAGAUCUGACAGAGAGUUCUUGUAUCAGAUCUUGGGUGAAGUUAUCAAGGCUGGUGCAACAACUCUGAACAUACCUGAUACUGUUGGGAUAACAUUGCCUAGUGAAUUUGGACGGUUAAUAGCUGACAUAAAAGCCAAUACCCCUGGAAUAGAAAAUGUCAUCAUUUCAACACACUGCCAAAAUGAUCUAGGACUUUCUACAGCUAAUACUUUAGCAGGAGCACAUGCAGGUGCCAGACAACUUGAAGUAACAGUCAAUGGCAUUGGUGAAAGAGCUGGAAAUGCUUCAUUGGAGGAGGUUGUUAUGGCCAUAAAAUGUCGUGGAGAGCAUGUUUUAGGAGGUCUUUAUACUGGAAUCAAUCCCAAACACAUUACUAUGGCAAGCAAGAUGGUAGAAGAAUACACUGGUUUGCAGUUGCAGCCACACAAGGCUAUCGUUGGAGCUAAUGCUUUUGCUCAUGAAAGUGGCAUACAUCAGGAUGGAAUGCUAAAACAUAAAGGUACAUAUGAGAUUAUAUCUCCUGAAGAUAUUGGGCUUGAACGUUCCAAUGAUGCAGGGAUUGUCCUUGGAAAACUCAGGUAUUAGUCUUUUUUGUUGUUAUGAUCAAUUUAUUGUCUUGUUAUGUUAAUUUCUUAUGCAUUUCUUGUAGUGACAAAAUUUGGAUUGAAUUGAUUGCAAAUAAACAUUUAUUACUCUGAUUGCUUAUAGAUCAAGUUAUCAGAAUGGACUGAAGUUGAACUUUAUGAGGGAUGCUGGUAGAUAUUUAGCAAGAUUGAAAUCUCAUUUUGGAUUAGCUAACUAUGAAGUAUGGUCUACUGAUAAUAUUGAAAAGGGGAAAGAAGAACUGUAGUUCCUUGGCUGUGUGGAUUGUACAAUGUACCUUCCUAAGCUAGUACAUCACUUAUAGAAUUUUGUAUUUGGUUCUCUAAGUGCUUGAACAGUAGCUGCCAGCCUUUUAAUAUCUGGUCCUAGAUUGUCUAUAGUAUGAAUGGUGAUCUUGUUAGAGGUAAUUGGAGCACCUUUCAGUGCAAGUUCAUUUAUAGUAGCUUUGAUUGAUUGAAGGGACUCUUGGACAGGCUAAAUUUCUCAUGGAAUGGUGGCUAUAGUUCAAUGAGACAUGAGUAGAAAAUCAUGUGAGUUCAUUUGGUAUUAACUCUUUAUCAUUUGUUAGGGGAAUAGGUUUUCCAAAGCAAUUAUUUGUGGUGCAUCAACAGAUUAAUGAGCUUCCGAGUUAGCUGAUUUGUAUGCAUAUAAAUGAGGAAUAAAUGAUAUCUACCAGUUCAGAGAAGGAGAUACAUAUCUUUUCUUGGUAGCAUGUUGCUGUACUUAAUUUUAUGUUUAAUUAUCAUAGAUGUUAUUACUGAUAUUUAGUGGCAUUCCAUCAAUUUUCUCUAGCAUCCACAAUCAAUUUAAAUUUUUUUUCUUUUUUGCCCCCUAUGACUUUUUAUGGUAAAGUGGCCGCCAUGCUUUGAAAGAUCGACUAAAAGAGGUAUGAAGAUGCAAACAUUUGAAAGUUGAUUAAUUGCCUGCUUCUUUGUUAUGUGCUUUAUCCAUUUCCUAUUCUUGCUUCUUUCAGCUUGGUUAUGAAUUGAAUGAUGAGCAACUUGGCAAUAUCUUUUGGAGUUUCAAGGCAGUAGCUGAACAAAAAAAGAGAGUCACUGAUGCGGACCUGAUAGCAUUGGUGUCAGAUGAAGUUUUUCAGCCUGAAAUUGUGUGGAAGCUUAGUGAUCUGCAGGUUACUUGUGGAACACUUGGUCUCUCUACUGCAACUGUUAAACUCAUUGAUGCUAAUGGCAAAGAGCACAUUGCAUGCUCCAUUGGAUCUGGGCCAGUAGAUGCAGGAUACAAGGCUGUCGAUCUCAUUGUGAAGGAACCAGUUGAACUUCUUGAAUACUCCAUGAAUGCUGCUACAGAAGGCAUAGAUGCGAUAGCCACUACCCGUGUUGUAAUUCGUGGAGAGAACCUUCACACCACUAAUGCUAUAACAGGCGAACCACUUCUACGUUCAUUUAGGUAUAGUACCUACUUUAUUUUGCUUCAAGUUAGCAUAUAGUAUCUACUUUUAAUUUCUACUUUCAGCGAUUUUUUUUUUUAUUUUUUAUGGAUGCUAGUGGAUCCGGGGUCGGAAUGGAUAUUGUUGUUUCCAGUGUGAAGGCCUACAUUGGUGCAUUGAAUAAGAUGUUAGCUUUUAAGCAGCAGUUGCCAACGACAAGGGUUUCUACGGAUAGGACCCCUGUAUCUGCAUGAAAUUUUGGAACACCCAGCGUAGUGCAUGUCAAUUUGCCUUAAUGAUUUUUAGACAUAGAGAGUAGAGGUGCUAUUAUGUAAAAGGGCUGAAAAAGACAAUUUGUCUACAAUACUUACAUUUUAAUCCUGUUUUGGCUGUAGUUUUUGAAGAACUUAUUUUGGUUUGAGAAUGCGUGGAUUGAAUGACAGCUUGAGUUUUGCGUCAAUACUCUAUUCUUGUGUUGGAAUUCUUACCAAAUUUCAGCUGUAAGGUGGCAUAUGAGUAGGAAUGUCAAUAGAUAGAGUACUUGUGAAAUUCAAGGUGCUUGAAUUUGAAUUGUUUAUGUUAUGUUUGGUUACCAAAAUUUAGAGUUAGAGAUGUGAACCUAAUUUGAGUAUAGAUUAUUGAUAUAUGGG
rnacentral:misc_RNA from 1 species